rnacentral:rRNA from 1 species
UACGAAUGGUGCGAGCGUUGUUCGGAAUCACUGGGCAUAAAGGGUGCGUAGGUGGUUUGGUAAGUCAGAUGUGAAAGCCCUCGGCUCAACCGGGGAAUUGCAUCUGAUACUGCUAAACUUGAGGUUAUGAGGGGUGAGCGGAAUUCCAGGUGUAGCGGUGAAAUGCGUAGAUAUCUGGGAGAACGCCAACGGCGAAGGCAGCUCACUGGCGUAAACCUGACACUGAGGCACGAAAGCGUGGGGAGCAAACAGGAUUAGAUACCCUGGUAGUCCACGCCGUAAACGAUGGGUACUUUGUGGAGGGACUCUCGAUAGUCUCUCUGCCGGAGCAAAUGCGUUAAGUACCCCGCCUGGGGAGUAUGGUCGCAAGGCUAAA